GCCCGCCUAGCUCAAUCGGCUAGAGCGUCAGACUUUUAAGGCUGUCCGCCUAAUGACAUCUGAAGGCUGCGAGUUCGACCCUCGCGGUGGGCU